CGCCCGUGUGCCAGCCAGCGGGGCGCGGCCCUCCUCGCUCGUGCGCCCUCCUCCCCCCGUCCCAGGCCUUCUCCUCCCGUGUGAAACAAAUGAAAAUGCAAGAUUAUAUGGAAAUAUAUGGGACGAUGCAAUCAGGCAGUGAACUCAAGCCAUCCGCAUGCUUGGUUGAAUUGGGAGAUACAUCUGUUGAUGUAGCACCGAAGGCUUCCUGCAACAAAGAAAAUAUUCAUACCUUUAAAGACAAGUUGAACGGUUUGGAUAUAAACGCUUUACCAGCUGAUGAUGCUGGAGAUGAUGCCAAGGAUGAAGCACUGUCCUAUGAAUCUGUAGUACGUAGAGAAGUAGCUCAGUGUCCAAACCAUAGCCAUGAGGCCUAUAGUUCUGAUAUUACAUGUAAUGGAGUUUAGAGGUGUCUAAAGAAAGCUAGAGGUUGUCCUCCGCAGACAGGUCCAGAGGUACCAGAGCACCAGAAAAGUGGUGGUGUGAAGACAGCUCCAGAGGUAUCAGAGCACCAAAAAAGUGGUGGUGCUUUGUGGGACAUUUUCUGAAGAGAGGACACCGAGAAAUUGCAAGAUUUUCUUAGGAAGCAUGCCUCAGAAUUUCAGAACAUCCAUUGCAAUCCAGUGAAACAGGUUAUUCAUCCAAUUCAUAAUCAAACUUUCUAUUUAACUGCGGAGCAACAUAAAAUAAAGCUGAAGGAAGAAUAUGGUUAAUGAACAUCUUCAAUUCUCUACCGCACAUUGUUUCAUGACCAUGCUUGUUUCUAUAUGCGUAUGUUGGAUUUGCUGCUUUAGGUGUUGAGCCUUGGACUUUUGAGCAGAAGCUUGGCGAAGCAGUUUUGAUUCCAGCCGGAUGUCCUCACCAAGUCAGGAAUUUGAAGGUGUGAUGGAAUUACUGUAAAUGGAGAUAUACUAUUUUCCAUUCCUCUUGAAGUUUGCAUCAGUUAUGUGGUGGCUGAAAAUUGAAUAAAUUAUGUUGAGGAACUCUAGCUUCUAGUACUAAAGCAAGAAGAAACUCUAGUCCAGCUUCUAAUACCAGAAGCAAGAAGAAACUCCAGCUUGAAUAAAUUAUGUUGAGAAACUACUACUUUCGUUGUAAUUUAAGACAUGUAUGGACUUUUUAUGUGUGGACUUAGUGUGGUGAACUACUACUA